UACGGAGGGGGCUAGCGUUGUUCGGAAUUACUGGGCGUAAAGCGCACGUAAGCGGCUUUGUAAGUUAGAGGUGAAAGCCCGGGGCUCAACUCCGGAAUUGCCUUUAAGACUGCAUCGCUAGAAUUGUGGAGAGGUAAGUGGAAUUCCGAGUGUAGAGGUGAAAUUCGUAGAUAUUCGGAAGAACACCAGUGGCGAAGGCGACUUACUGGACACAUAUUGACGCUGAGGUGCGAAAGCGUGGAGGACAAGCAA
rnacentral:rRNA from 1 species